UAUCAUAAUCUUCUAUAAUCUGUGAUUUCCUAUCUGUUAGUAUGUUAACUAUAUAACCAUCAUAUCUAUACACGAUUGCAUCAGUCCAAUGAACUUAAGUUGAAAGGCCCAAGUCCAUAUAAACUUCUAUACACGAGUUGAGAUCUGGGCAAGACGCAUGAAGAACAACCUGAGUUAAGACCCACGACGAAGACUAGCAUGAUGCAUAGCAAAGACGUGGCUGGGUGGCUAACAGAUGUAAAUCAUAAUAGUGGUUGGGUAGCAUUGGAUAAAUGGCAGAGUCGUACAGUUGAGAUCUAGUUCCUAUAGAUCUGGCAUAGUCGCAACUGGAUCUUUAGACGGACAAAACAUGAAGUAACAGCAGACCAUCGGCUGCGUCGUCGACGGUGUAUGAACUUGAGCAGUAUGAUGAGCAAGAAGGUGGGCUUUUAAUCAUUCCAAAAAAGGAACUGGACGAGAUGAAGAAGAGAUUGAAGGAAAUGGAAGAGGAACCCACGGCUUUUUGUGAAAUGCAGGCGAGGGCCGAGAAGGAGACAGUUUGCAAACAUCUUGGACAUCAUCCAGUGGUUAAUAUGUCCAAGGAAGGUAACAAUCUUGCUUAGCUGCUGUCACCCAGAUCCAAAAAGACAAAUUCCUACUGUUCUUAUUCUUAUCUAUGCAUAUUUGGUAGAGCAGUUAAUGCAGGAUUUAACUCCAGGGGUACAUUGUUGGCCAAAGAAAAAAGAAAAACAAACAAGCAAACUACAGGGGUCGAAUUACUUUUUUGGAAGGAGAGCUAGUUUAUUUUUAGAUUUUUAUGUGAAUAUUGAAGCUAGUUUAUC